UUUAAGUGUAGUUGUGGGUUUCAAUGUCCAACGUUUCACCGUCUUAUUUAAUUUGUUUAUAAUUAGUAUUUUUUAUUGUUAUUAGAUGAUAAAAUGUGAAUAGUACUUCAUGCGUGACUUAUUUUUUUAUAAUUUUUUUAAAUAAAACAGAUGUUGAAACGUUAGACAUAUGAACCCACAACUGCACUUAGA
rfam:Oryza sativa Japonica Group DNA, chromosome 10, cultivar: Nipponbare, complete sequence.